ensembl:snRNA Gm22113 predicted gene, 22113
GUGCUCGCUUCGGCAGCACAUAUACUAAAAUUGGAACGAUACAGAGAUUAGCAUGGCCUCUGUGCAAGGAUGACACACAAAUUCGUGAAGUGUUCCAUAUUUAA